AAUUACUCACACUGCACAGCCAGCCUCGAAGACAAAGGGGCAUUUGACAAUUUAACUCUUCCAGGGAGUAGUUCUUUCCCUCUGAAGCAGCGGACUGGAGCAGUGGGCAUUAAAUGCUUUUGAGGGUAUGGGCAAGAAAAGACGAACCCUCGGAGACAAGGGGACCAGCAGAAGACAUCCGUGGCGGAGAGGAGUGGGAGUGUAGAAGCUGCACCCACUUCAAGCCCAGAAAGAUGCAGUUGGCUUGAAGCACCCGCAGCUCCUGACAGCUGUGACAAAUGAGCCCUCGGACGCAGAGCGCAGCUGCUCAGCCCGGCUGAAAACAAGCGCAGAGUCAGGUACCUGUUUGUCUGAAGCUUUAUAAAUGAGUUGGGCGACAUUAAUAUUUGUUCUGCUUCUAUUUCAGGGCUCAGCAGCAGCAGUUCUCGAAUACUUGGAACGGAGGGCGAGUUCUGUUUCCCAUCGUGCUCCUGAGGUCACAGCCGGAGAGAGAGCACAAGUGGGGGAAGGUCAAAGAGAGAAGGAGACACAGAAUCUGAAGCAGGCCUCGGGUGCUGAGUGUUGAGCACAGGACCCGACGGGGGCUCGAACUCACUAACCACGAGAUCAUGACCUGAGCUGAAGUCAGACACCUACCCGACUGAGCCCCCCAGACGCCACUGUUUUCCUUCUUUAGCAGGAAAAGAAGGUGCAGGAAAGAUCUUACUUUCCUGUUAACUGAAGUGUAAGAAAAUCAAUAAUGCCAGCACCAGGGACAGUGGUAUGGACCUGUGGUCUCACCAUUGGGAGACUGAGGGGAGUGGUGGGGCCAGAGGAGGGGCCUCCCAUCUCCUGCUGGUUUGGGCAGAUAGCAUAAUGCCCUGUAUCUUCAGGACAAGCUGCCUAUUGGAUUUUUAUCCAUCUCUCUAUUUUUAAAUGUUGGUAACAAAUAAAACUGGUUUCAGAGCA